GCCGAGUGUGGUGGCCCACGCCUGUAAUCCCAGCACUUUAGGAGGCUGAGGUGGGAGGAUCACUUGAGUCCAGGAGUUCAAGACCAGCCUGGGCAACAUAGUGAAACCCCAUCUCUA
ensembl:misc_RNA Metazoa_SRP Metazoan signal recognition particle RNA